CUUCACCGGCUUUGCUGCAGCGUAAGAAGGCCUAGUGAACAACGAUCCUAAACCGGCUUCGGCUCCGAGCGAUAGGAUGACAAGGUUGAGGACUAAGUAAAGAUAAGUAGGUCUCGAGGAUGAAGACAAAAGUGCUGCCACAACAGAUAAUAGUGCUGCCACAACAGA